GAUGAACGCUGGCGGCGUGCCUAAUACAUGCAAGUCGAGCGAACAGACGAGGAGCUUGCUCCUCUGACGUUAGCGGCGGACGGGUGAGUAACACGUGGAUAACCUACCUAUAAGACUGGGAUAACUUCGGGAAACCGGAGCUAAUACCGGAUAAUAUAUUGAACCGCAUGGUUCAAUAGUGAAAGACGGUUUUGCUGUCACUUAUAGAUGGAUCCGCGCCGCAUUAGCUAGUUGGUAAGGUAACGGCUUACCAAGGCAACGAUGCGUAGCCGACCUGAGAGGGGGAUCGGCCACACUAGAACUGGGACACGGUCCAGACUCCUACGGGACGCAGCAGUAGGGAAUCUUCCGCAAUGGGCGAAAGCCUGACGGAGCGACGCCGCGUGAGUGAUGAAGGUCUUCGGAUCGUAAAGCUCUGUUAUUGGGGAAGAACAAAUGUGGAAGUAACUAUGCACGUCUUGACGGUACUUGAUCAGAAAGCCACGGCUAACUACGUG
rnacentral:rRNA from 1 species